GCGUCAGUAGUGCAAUGGGUCAGAGCGCGCACUCUCGGAUAGAGUAAGGUGCGGGUUCGAGACCUGCCUGAUGCG